UACGAAGGAGGCUAUCGUUGUUCGGAAUUACUGGGCGUAAAGCGCGCGUAGGCGGAUGUUCAAGUCGGGGGUGAAAUCACGGGGCUCAACCCCGGAACUGCCUACGAUACUGGACGUCUGGAGGACGGGAGAGGCGAGUGGAAUGCCGAGUGUAGAGGUGAAAUUCGUAGAUAUUCGGCGGAACACCCGUGGCGAAGGCGGCUCGCUGGUACGUUUCUGACGCUGAGGCGCGAAAGCGUGGGGAGCAAACAGG
rnacentral:rRNA from 1 species